rnacentral:rRNA from 1 species
GCAUGUCUCAGUAUAAGUGUUUCACUGCGAAACUGCGAAUGGCUCAUUACAACAGUUAUAGUUUCCAUGAAAGUUGAUUAUUACCUGGAUAUCCACGGUAAUUCUAGAGCUAAUACAUGCGUCCAGACCCGACUUUGCGGAAGGGUUGUGCUUAUUAGACACUGAACCAUCCCAGGCUUGCCUGGUUUCGAGGUGAUUGAUGGUAAUCGAACGAAUCGUAUGCUUCGGCGACGAUGAUUCAUUCAAGUUUCUGACCUAUCAGCUUCCGACGGUAGGGUAUUGGCCUACCGUGGCUUUGACGGGUAACGGAGAAUUAGGGUUUGAUUCCGGAGAGGGAGCCUGAGAAACGACUACCACAUCUAAGGAAGGCAGCAGGCGCGCAAAUUACCUUUUUUUUGACACAGGGAGGUAGUGACAAGAAAUACCAAUAUGAGGCUAUUUUGUCUUGUAAUUGGAAUGAGCACAAUUUAAAAAGCUGUUCGAGUAUCGAUUGGAGGGCAAGUCUGGUGCCAGCAGCCGCGGUAAUUCCAGCUCCAAUAGCGUAUAUUAAAGUUGUUGCGGUUAAAAAGCUCGUAGUUGGAGUUCUGCCAGGUGCCGCCUGUCCGCCCCAGUGGUGAGUACGUGGCGCGCGUUUGGCCCUUUCAAGGGGAGCGUAUCUGCACUUAACUGUGUGGUGCGGGAUCCUUGACUUUUACUUUGAGGAAAUAAGAGUGUUCCAAGCAGGCUCUCGUCGUGCAUAGCUCAGCAUGGAAUAAUAGCAUUGGACCUCGAUUCUAAGCUGUUGGUUGCCAGAAACGAGGUAAUGAUGAAGAGGGAAAGUUGGGGGC